rnacentral:rRNA from 1 species
UACGUAGGGGGGCAAGCGUUGUCCGGAAUCAUUGGGCGUAAAGCGCGUGUAGGCGGCCCGAUAAGUCCGCUGUGAAAGUCCAGGGCUCAACCCUGGGAUGCCGGUGGAUACUGUCGGGCUCGAGUCCGGAAGAGGAGUGUGGAAUUCCGUGGUGUAGCGGUGAAAUGCGCAGAUAUCAGGAGGAACACCAAUGGCGAAGGCAGCACUCUGGGACGUGACUGACGCUGAGACGCGAAGGCGUGGGGAGCGAACAGG